CCCCACCCCCUCGUGCAGUACCCCGCCCCCACCCAGAACCCGCUCACACCGCAUUGAUAUCCAACAAAUAUUCUGCAUCCACAUUAGUGAUCGGCCAUCCCUUGGUAGAGCCCACUGGGUAAGUCGCGGGCCGGUCCAUCCAUCACACACCUGGGUUGGCCCUCCCACUUGGAAGUGAAAUGGAUCGAUUCGAAAUUGUUCUUGAAAUAGUGGGUUCCCAAAGACAAACUAUACAUAAACCUCCACCCUUAAUAACCAACCUGACACAUUUAGGAAACAAUCAUUAUUUCAGCUAGUUCAUUUAGCUGAUAUAUGUUGCUGUAAGUGGAUACCUUUCAAAUUAUGUUUUAAAUCAGCGUUUAAAAUCAUUAAAAUCAUUCUUUUGAAGAAUGCUAAGCAUGUGGUGUUUUACAACUCUAGACCUGGGACGAAGGCCGAGAUCACAACCACCAAGAAUAAUAAUUAUAAUAAAUAAUUACAUCUCUUCUAUUGGUUUUUGGACGUGACCUUGAUGCAUUUCUGAAUUCCGAAAUGCUUGCCUUUAAGCAUUCAAACUUCUGGAAAUAUUUCCAAAGACUCUGAAGUGAACGUAUUGUGAUCCUUUGAGGGCCCGAGGGCCGCCUGCUGAGGCCCCUCUGCCUUCAACAGUCUGUGGUCAAUCCCAGAGCUAGAGCCCUGCUUCCGGCGCUGCCCUGUCCUGUUGCAUCAUCGCUGCUUCCUCCAUCACCCAGGAAGUGACCUUUGACCUGUCGUGUCAUUUGCUAUAUCGGUUUGGAGUUAUUAAAGGGGACAUAUUAUACCACCAGGUGUGGGUGUGAUUAGCCUUACAAGCCGUUUCGAAAUCACAAGUGGGCGUGUCCACCUAGAUCUGUGCUGGAUAGAUCAGUCUACCAGCCUACCCAGUGGACUGAGGUGAACGUUGCUCAUCUAUCCAGCACAGAUCUAGGUGGACACGCCCACUAGUGAUGUCAUAUGGGGCCGAUUUUUGAAACGGCUUGUAAGGCUAAUCACACUCACACGUGGUGGUAUAAUAUGUCCCCUUUAAGGAAUCUGCUGGUUUUGCCGAAGUGUAUGUGUGUUUGUGUCUGUGUCUGUGUGUAUGAAUGUGUAUGAGAUGCUUUCAAAGAUAUUUUUUACCUCUCAACACAUCCUAAAUAUGUCUUUGUGGGGAGAACAUAGGGACUGUGGUAUAUUCAUGAGGACCAAACUAGGGAACUUGAGUACUUAUACUAUGUCUUUGUGAGAAUAAAGGAGAGAUGUGUGUGUGGGAAACACAUGGGGACUGUCUUUUUGAGGACAUCAUGGGGACCACGUCUUUAUGAGGACAGCUUUUUAACUUUGUCUGAAAGCUGUGUUGUAUGUAAGUGAUCUUUAGAAUCCUUUCAGAAUCCUCCCCUGUUUCUAAUAAAUGCAACGCCACUGUUCUGCCGUGGGAUAUGCACAUAAAUGUUUUUCAAAGCGGAAAACACAGUUUUCGUGUUGCUAGUCGCUUCUUUGGCAUAACCAUCAUUAAUUCUGGAUUUCUCCUUUUUGAAGAGUAUUGCCACUUGGCUGGCUGACCUCCAGUCUCUGUGUGUGUGUGUGUGCUCUCUAACUGUGAUACGUACAAGUCAAAGGUACCACUAGCUGAAUGAUGUACAAGUCACUGCAAGAAUGCUUCCACAAGCUAUUGUGAUCGUAGCUUCGGCAAGCAAGACAGCUCUUCCAUUGCAUUCUCGCUGAGCACCACCGGCUCCCAUUGCUUCUCGGCUUCUCAUGCGCUCUUCAUCUGCUUUUUGAGAGAAGAGACACCCACUGUUAGAGCAAGGCGCUUCCACUUCCAUGGGUAGGGGUUCUAUUCCCAGGGCAGAGCAAGGCACUAACACUGCCAGCCAGGGGAAGGGGUUCCAUUUCCUCAGCUCGGUGGGUAGAUCGAGAAAGAGUUAGGGGUUAUAUUCCCUUUGUAGCUUAGUAUGUACAGCAAGACACACACACUGCAGGGUGGGGGUUAUAUUAGCUGUGUAGCUCGGUUGGUAGAGCAAGGGAUUGACAUUGCCUUGGCUGGGGGUUCUAUUCCCUGGCUAGCUCAGUAGGUACUAACACUGUAGGGUUUGGGGUUCUAUCCCCUGGCUAGCUCAGUAGGUAGAGAAUUGCACUCACACCGCGGGGGUGGGGGUUCUCUACGCUGUGUUGCUCGGUAGGUAGAGCAAGGCACCAACACGGCUUCAUUCAGGUAGAUAUUCAGUCAGUAGAGUGGAAUCCUCUCUCUCUCUCCUCCUCUCUCAUCCCAUCUUAUCCCGCCAUGUUUACCCACGCCGGCCACGCCAGCCACGCCAUGCCCCUCCCUGUUGGCACUCUCUGUGACGUUUGAACUCUAUGCCCAUUGGUUAACCACCUGCCUUCUUUCUUUCUCUUCAUUUUGCGUCUGGAUCGACAUUUUGUCUCUCCUUCUCUCCAUCUCUCCGACCCUUUCCCCCUUCUCCCCGCAUCCUUCUCCAUCUCUCCACUCUCCCUCCCUGUGUCCUCCCCCUCGCUCCUUUUUUCAUCUCCUCUCUCCGACCCUUUCCUCCUUCUCACCUCCACCUCCACCAUCUCUCCCUCUGCCACCUCUCCCUCUCAUCUUCUCUUCCUGCAUCUCUCCCUGUCUCUCGUCCUCCCUCCCUCCCUCCAUUCUGUGCACUCUCUUGGUAACCCCUCCAUCCUCACUGACCCCACCCCCUUCCCCUGAUUGGUCCUCCUCCC